UGGUUUCCAAUUUGUAAGUCGCUCUGGAUAAGAGCGUCUGCUAAAUGACUUAAA
rfam:Salmo salar isolate Sally breed double haploid chromosome ssa07, whole genome shotgun sequence.